UACGUAGGGACCAAGCGUUGUUCGGAUUUACUGGGCGUAAAGGGCGCGUAGGCGGCAAAUUAAGUCAGCUGUGAAAUCUCCGAGCUUAACUCGGAACUGUCAGCUGAUACUGAUCUGCUAGAGUGCGGAAGGGGCAAUCGGAAUUCUUGGUGUAGCGGUGAAAUGCGUAGAUAUCAAGAGGAACACCUGAGGUGAAGACGGGUUGCUGGGCCGACACUGACGCUGAGUGCGCGAAAGCCAGGGGAGCAAACGGG
rnacentral:rRNA from 1 species